UACGUAGGGUGCAGGCGUUAAUCGGAAUUACUGGGCGUAAAGCGUGCGCAGGCGGCGCGUUAAGACAGGUGUGAAAGCCCCCGGCUCAACUGGGGAGGGUCACGCGAUACUGAUCGACUCGAAGGCAGGAGAGGGUAGUGGAAUUCCCGGUGUAGCGGUGAAAUGCGCAGAUAUCGGGAAGAACACCCGUGGCGAAGGCGGUUCUCGGGACGGUACUGACGCUGAGACGCGAAAGCGUGGGGAGCGAACAGG
rnacentral:rRNA from 1 species